rnacentral:rRNA from 1 species
UACGUAGGGGGCAAGCGUUGUCCGGAUUUAUUGGGCGUAAAGAGCGUGUAGGCGGUCAGGUAGGUCCGUUGUGAAAACUCGAGGCUCAACCUCGAGACGCCGAUGGAAACCAUCUGACUAGAGUCCGGAAGAGGAGAGUGGAAUUCCUGGUGUAGCGGUGAAAUGCGCAGAUAUCAGGAAGAACACCGGUGGCGAAGGCGGCGCUCUGGACCGAGACUGACGCUGAGGCGCGAAAGCGUGGGGAGCAAACAGG